AGGAUUUCGGUAUCCGUGCUCAAGGACAACGCUGGCGGCGUGCCUAACACAUGCAAGUCGAGCGAUGAAGUUCCUUCGGAACGGAUUAGCGGCGGAACGGGUGAGUAACACUGGGUAACCUGCCUUAUAGAGGGGAAUAGCUUCCGAAAGGAAGAUUAAUACCGCAUAAAGUGUUGAUUCGCAUGGAUCGAUAACCAAAGGAGCAAUCCGCUAUAAGAUGGACCCGCGGCGCAUUAGGCUAGUUGGUGAGGUAAUGGCUCACCAAGGCGACGAUGCGUAGCCGACCUGAGAGGGUGAUCGGCCACAUUGGGACUGAGACACGGCCCAGACUCCUACGGGAGGCAGCAGUGGGGAAUAUUGCACAAAUGGGGGAAACCCUGAUGCAGCAACGCCGCGUGAGUGAUGAAGGCCUUCGGGUUGUAAAGCUCUGUCUUUGGGGACGAUAAUGACGGUACCCAAGGAGGAAGCCACGGCUAACUACGUG
rnacentral:rRNA from 1 species